AUUGAACGCUGGCGGCAUGCCUUACACAUGCAAGUCGAACGGUAACAGGUUAAGCUGACGAGUGGCGAACGGGUGAGUAAUGUAUCGGAACGUGCCCAGUCGUGGGGGAUAACUGCUCGAAAGAGCAGCUAAUACCGCAUACGACCUGAGGGUGAAAGCGGGGGAUCGCAAGACCUCUCGCGAUUGGAGCUGCCGCUAUCAGAUUAGGUAGUUGGUGAGGUAAAGGCUCACCAAGCCGACGAUCUGUAGCUGGUCUGAGAGGACGACCAGCCACACUGGGACUGAGACACGGCCCAGACUCCUACGGGAGGCAGCAGUGGGGAAUUUUGGACAAUGGGCGCAAGCCUGAUCCAGCAAGGCCGCGUGCGGGAAGAAGGCCUUCGGGUUGUAAACCGCUUUUGUCAGGGAAGAAAAGGUUCUGGCUAAUACCUGGGACUCAUGACGGUACCUGAAGAAUAAGCACCGGCUAACUACGUG
rnacentral:rRNA from 1 species